rnacentral:rRNA from 1 species
GAUGAACGCUAGCGGCAGGCUUAAUACAUGCAAGUCGAGGGGUAGCAAGAUUGUAGCAAUACAAUUGUUGACGACCGGCAAACGGGUGCGGAACACGUACACAACCUUCCUACAAGUGGGGAAUAGCCCAGAGAAAUUUGGAUUAAUACCCCGUAACAUAGCGAUGUGGCAUCACAUUGCUAUUAUAGCUUCGGCGCUUGUUGAUGGGUGUGCGGCUGAUUAGAUAGUUGGCGGGGUAACGGCCCACCAAGUCUACGAUCAGUAGCUGAUGUGAGAGCAUGAUCAGCCACACGGGAACUGAGACACGGGCCCGACUCCUACGGGAGGAAGCAGUAAGGAAUAUUGGACAAUGGACGCAAGUCUGAUCCAGCCAUGCCGCGUGAAGGAUUAAGGUCCUCUGGAUUGUAAACUUCUUUUAUAAGGGACGAAAAAAGGUCUUUCUAGAUCGUCUGACGGUACCUUAUGAAUAAGCACCGGCUAACUCCGUACCAGCCGCCGCCGUAAGAC